GUUGGAUUCUACUCCAUGGGGACGUAUGCAGGGCUGUUAAUGGCCCCGGCGACAUCAGCUGUUCCGGUCUCACUUUUGUUUGAAAGGCAAAGAGGUGAAGUUGGACAUUUUGGGAUCUUUCUGGAAGAAGGACUUCAGCGGUUGCAGAGCCAAAGACGGAGGGUCGUUGUCACUAGAAGAGGAGAAAACUCUGUCAGCCUGUGAGAAGGAGACGUGUCCCUCCCCUGGAAAAAGCUCUGUAACGACCUCUUGUGGCAGUAACGAGCGCUGCAUCUCUGGCAGCUGUAAGUACAGAGCCACCUGCACCUUCACCGGAUCCUCCGUCAUCGACAGUCAGGGCGGACAGGGUGAUAUCAAGGACCGCUG